AUUGAACGCUGGCGGCAUGCUUUACACAUGCAAGUCGAACGGCAGCACGGACUUCGGUCUGGUGGCGAGUGGCGAACGGGUGAGUAAUACAUCGGAACGUGCCCAGUUGUGGGGGAUAACUACUCGAAAGAGUAGCUAAUACCGCAUGAGAACUGAGGUUGAAAGCAGGGGAUCGCAAGACCUUGCGCAACUGGAGCGGCCGAUGGCAGAUUAGGUAGUUGGUGGGAUAAAAGCUUACCAAGCCGACGAUCUGUAGCUGGUCUGAGAGGACGACCGGCCACACUGGGACGGGGACACGGCCCAGACGCCUAAGGGAGGCAGCAGUGGGGAAUUUUGGACAAUGGGCGAAGGCCUGAUCCAGCAAUGCCGCGUGAAGGAUGAAGGCCUUCGGGUUGUAAACUGCUUUUGUACGGAACGAAAAGCUUCGGGUUAAUACCCUGGAGUCAUGACGGUACCGUAAGAAUAAGCACCGGCUAACUACGUGCCAGCCGCCGCCGUAAGAC
rnacentral:rRNA from 1 species